rnacentral:rRNA from 1 species
GUAGUCAUAUGCUUGUCUCAAAGAUUAAGCCAUGCAUGUCUAAGUAUAAGCAAUUAUACCGCGAAACUGCGAAUGGCUCAUUAUAUAAGUUAUCGUUUAUUUGAUAAUACUUUACUACUUGGAUAACCGUGGUAAUUCUAGAGCUAAUACAUGCUAAAAAUCCCGACUUCGGAAGGGUUGUAUUUAUUAGAUUAAAAACCAAUGCCCCUCGGGGCUCUCUGGUGAAUCAUGAUAACUAGUCGAAUCGACAGGCCUUGUGCCGGCGAUGGCUCAUUCAAAUUUCUUCCCUAUCAACUUUCGAUGUUUGGGUAUUGUCCAAACAUGGUGGCAACGGGUAACGGAGGGUUAGGGCUCGACCCCGGAGAAGGAGCCUGAGAAACGGCUACUACAUCCAAGGAAGGCAGCAGGCGCGCAAAUUACCCAAUCCCGACACGGGGAGGUAGUGACAAUAAAUACUGAUACAGGGCUCUUUUGGGUCUUGUAAUCGGAAUGAGUACAAUUU